CACCACUGGACCCUAACUGCAGUGUGCUACAGAACAUUCUUCAUGAAUUUGACUGCAUUCCAAAUUACAGCAGUUAUAAGAAGGAGGAGCUGAAGCAGUACUGGUUUACUGUCUAUUUGGUUUACUCUGAAGUGUGAAGACCUAUGGAUACAUGUGGAGCAGGAAUGCUGUUUUGGUCCCCUGAACUGAUAUUCCAGGAAACUUCAGUGCUUGUAGGCCACAUGGGUGGUCUGGAUACUAGAGCAAGUUUCUCUACUAGCUAAACAACUUCAGCUAGUGUUAACAAGAGUUCAUCUGAUCCCGUUGUUUGUUCAACUGUGUCAUUUACUUUUACAACUGCAACAGAAAUUUGUACCAAAGCCUGUGAAAGCUAAGUCUCUGAAGAGCCAAGUACUGACUGGAAAUGUUGCAAAGGUAAAACAAAUAAAGGAAAACCAAGUUCAUGUGGACAAAAAAAGUAUGUGCUUUAAUUCAGCUUCUUCCUGAAAAACUUCUGAUAGUUUGUACACUUCAUUGUGGGAUACACCCACACACGUGUGUUUGUAUGUGUGCAGACUGUUUAUUUAGUACACAUGUAUAUAACGAUCAGGUGUAUGGGUAUGCUGAUGGGAAACAUCUGUCUCCUCCUACUGCUAAACCCCCCAU